rnacentral:rRNA from 1 species
GAAAGUAAGCAAGGGCGCAUGGCGGAUGCCUUGGCUCUCGGAGGCGAUGAAGGACGUGAUAAGCUGCGAUAAGCUUCGGGUAGGUGCAAAUGACCUUUGAUCCGAAGAUUUCCGAAUGGGACAACCCGACAUUCUGAAGGAAUGUCAUCCUGCUUGGCAGGAGGCUAACGCAGGGAACUGAAACAUCUUAGUACCUGCAGGAAAAGAAAAUAAACAAUGAUUCCCCCAGUAGUGGCGAGCGAACGGGGAACAGCCCAAACCAUCCAUGUUACGGCAUGGGUGGGGUUGUAGGACUACGCCGUUGCAUGAAGACAUCAGAGAAGAACUUUCUGGAAAGAAAGACCAUAGAGCAUGACAGUUGCGUAUUCGAAUGUUGUCGAAGCAUAGUAGUAUCCUGAGUAGCGCGGAGCACGAGGAAUUCUGCGUGAAUCUGCCGGGACCAUCCGGUAAGGCUAAAUACUCCCGAGAGACCGAUAGCGAACCAGUACUGUGAAGGAAAGGUGAAAAGCACUUCGAAUAGAAGAGUGAAAUAGUCCCUGAAACCAUGCGCCUACAAGCGGUCGGAGCAGCUUAUGCUGUGACGGCGUGCCUUUUGCAUAAUGAACCUACGAGUUACUUUUUCCGGCAAGGUUAAGGAUCUAGAGAUCCGUAGCCGAAGCGAAAGCGAGUCUGAACAGGGCGAUAAGUCGGAAGGAGUAGACGCGAAACCAAGUGAUCUACCCUUGGCCAGGUUGAAGGUUAGGUAACACUAACUGGAGGACCGAACCGAUAAGCGUUGAAAAGCUUCCGGAUGAGCUGAGGGUGGGGGUGAAAGGCUAAUCAAACUUGGAGAUAGCUCGUACUCCCCGAAAUGCAUUUAGGUGCAGCCUUGUGAGUUACUAAUGUGAGGUAGAGCGACUGAUAAGAUGCGAGGGCUUCACCGCCUAUCAAGUCUUGAUAAACUCCGAAUGCGCAUUAGUUCUAUCACAGGAGUGAGGGCAUGGGUGCUAAGGUCCAUGUCCUAAAGGAGAAGAAUCCGGACCAUCAGCUAAGGUCCCGAAAUAGAUACUAAGUUGAACUAACGAAGUCAGAUUGCUAAGACAGCUAGGAUGUUGGCUUGGAAGCAGCCAUUCAUUUAAAGAGUGCGUAACAGCUCACUAGUCGAGGAGUUUGGCGUGGAUAAUAAUCGGGCAUUAAGUAUCUUACCGAAGCUAUGGGAUCAUUAAUGAUCGGUAGGGGAGCAUUCCACUCCGCGUCGAAGGUGAAGCGUGAGCUUUGCUGGAGCGUGUGGAAAAGCAAAUGUAGGUAUAAGUAACGAUAAAGGGGGCGGGAAACCCCCUCGCCGAAAGACUAAGGUUUCCUGAUCAACGCUAAUCGGAUCAGGGUUAGUCGGGUCCUAAGGCUCAGCCGAACGGUGAGGCCGAUGGCAGAACAGGUUAAUAUUCCUGUACUACCUUAAGGAGUGACGUGGAGACGGAGUCGUGACAACGCCGCGGACUGACGGAAUAGUCCGUUGAAGGGUGUAGAUGUUGAUUGUGGCAGGCAAAUCCACCACGAGAGUCGAACCUGAUAGUAUACCAAUUCCUUCGGGAAACGGUAAUAGUGCGUGUAAACAUACUCCCGAGAAAAUCCGCUAAACUUAAUCCUUGAGGUACCCGUACCGCAAACGGACACACGUAGUCGGGUUGAAUAUACUAAGGCGCUUGAGUGAUUCACGGUUAAGGAACUAGGCAAAUUGACCCUGUAACUUCGGGAUAAAGGGUCCCAACGAGAGUUGGGCGCAGAGAAUAGGUCCAGGCAACUGUUUAACAAAAACACAGGGCUGUGCAAAAUUGAAAGAUGAAGUAUACAGCCUGACACCUGCCCGGUGCUGGAAGGUUAAGAGGAGAUGUCAUCGCAAGAGAAGCAUUGAAUUGAAGCCCCAGUAAACGGCGGCCGUAACUAUAACGGUCCUAAGGUAGCGAAAUUCCUUGUCGGGU